UGAAUCCAGAUCUUCGAGGCCAUUCCAGUCACCACACCAUGCUGGCUCUUAGUAAACAGCAGACUUCAGCAUCACGUCCUUUGUCUUUUGAGCACUACAGAAGAAUUGCAGAGAGAAGCACCGGAUCCAGCUAGGAGGGUCUCGUGUAAAUGAGAUCCAUCAAUUAUUCUACAACAAUUUCCCCUUUCAUCUGAGCCCAAGAAGACCAUGCGGAAACAGCCAGGCAUGAAAAACGAAAUUAUACUUCCAAUGGCUUUGCAGUUAAAAAUGCCUGAAGUAUUUGCAACAUAGUGUUA